AACGUCCACCCUCCCACCCACCCACUCUCCCCCGCACACCACUCGUCCCCCGCACGACUUCCCCUCCUCUCUCUCCUAGAUCCAUACGCCGCCGCCGCCAUCCUCUCCCCUUCCCGCAGAUCCAAAACCACGGCGACGGUCCUGCGGAUCGGAAAGCCAUGGCAGCGGACCUCACAGAUCCAUCUCCGUCACCCCCUCAGCCCCCACACACCCACGGCCGCCACCCCCAACCCUCUCCAUCCCUAUCUGAUCUCGAUCGGCCCUGCUCUCCACCGCCCGCCUCGGCCUCGCCGGAGAUAGAGGCGUCGCCGCCCAGCAACCACGGCUGGCUUGCUCGCCGGCGAGCACGACGCUCCAUCAAGCUGGCCGGACUAGUAAUUGCUGUUAGAUCCUUCGAGAGCAAUGGGAGCAGGCAAUGAUAGUCAUGGGUACCCACCCGAUGGCCAGGGGGGAUACCCUCUGGCAGGGUACCCGCCGCAGCAGGGAGGUUACCCUCCACAGCAAGGAUACCCGCCUGCACCUGGAGCUUACCCACCUGCACUAUUAAUUCACCAAUGAUUCUUAAGUUCUACCUAAGCUCAAGGUGAAGAAGGCCAUCGAGAAGGGCAACACCGACGGUGCCCAGAUCUAUUCAGAGAACGCCAUCUGCAAGCGCACUGAGCACAUGAACUACCUCCGCCUCGCCUCCCGCAUCGCCCCAUAUGCCCAUGAGUGAUAUAUACUACUUGCCUGCUGCUGUAUCAUAUUGCUUAAUUUUUUACAUCAGAUUUAUGUACGGUAAAUGUCCGUCUCAUCAACUAUGAAGAGAAUUGGUGGUGGUUAGGGUGUUCUGGUGCUUAUGUAAUCUUCUUUCAGGCCUUUUGAGAUAGAGUUCUUUAGCUGACAAGUUUAGCAAAUGCUGCAGUGCUUAUGGUUUAGUUUUACAUCUGCGUAAAAAUGAAUGGCUGCUACUGUUUCUAGUUUUAGGUUGGGAUGAGAUGCAUGUUUGCAUGCUUGUGCUUCUGUCUUUACAAUCUAUACUACUGCUAUUGUCAUAUCCUGGUUGUUUUGUUGCUAUCAAUAUUUGUCCCAUGUUUUGUUUCCUUGCAUGCUUACUACUACAAUCUAUAAUACUGCUAUUGUCAUAUCUACUACUUGUGGUAUCAAUAUCUGCUAUUGUCAUAUCUCUGUUCACAUGUAGUCAAACAUCCUUGUACUAAUGCUGUUGUUGUAUGGCAAACACCAGAGGCAAAUCAUAUUUGUGAUGCAGUUUAUGUAACUUGGCAUUUCUACAUGGCUUGUUUAUAUUGGCAAUUAUACACUGAUGAUGAUGUUUACCUGCACUGCUUAAUUUUGUUUAUCUUGAUCUUGAUGGAAAAAACAUCACAUGUUUCUUUUCUGUCUUAAGACACAACAAACAUGUCUUUUUCAUUGUUGAGCUUAAUUAUAGGCUCUUGUGCAGCAGCAACCGUUGAUUUCGAUUUCAGCUGAUCAAUCAUCUGUCCUUCUGCAGCACAAGGGUUCCAUGGGGAUACAACAGCAGCAGGACGACCAUGACUACACCCUUGCUGCCAGUCUUGAAGGUGGUCGUAUGCAAGGCACCAAGGUGCAUGGUGCUCGCAAGCGAUGAACGGAGGCGGUUCGACAUCGGCUACGCAAACCACCAUUGAGCUCCAGGUCUAUGAAAUUUGAAGUUUGAAGUCGUAUAGCCCUACUCAGCAUAGAGCUGUAUAGACUGUAAAUACUGUAAUAUUGUAAUAGUAGGCAUAUUUGGGUUGUAAAACACUAUGUAUAGAUUGUAGUAGACUUAGUUGUAUUUGGUUAACUAUAUUUGUACGACUUAGUUGUAUUUGGUGAACUAUAUUUGUACUGUUAUGUCUGAAAUAUUGACUAUGUAUGUGAUUUGAAAACAUGUGGAAUGGAAACCUGACUCGUGGGACCCACUUAUGAAAAUAAUUUGAGGAGUUUUGAAA